CGAGCUCGCCAGUUUGGCAGUGUGCGCCUACAGCUGACCCGGUGUUACACACGGGCCACUGUACACAUUGCCAGCCGGGCGGGUCAU
rnacentral:pre_miRNA from 1 species